rnacentral:rRNA from 1 species
GCUUUUGAUGGGCGUCGACCGGCGCACGGGUGAGUAACGCGUAUCCAACCUGCCCACCACUUGGGGAUAACCUUGCGAAAGUAGACUAAUACCCAAUGAUAUCUCUAGAAGACAUCUGAAAGGGAUUAAAGAUUUAUCGGUGAUGGAUGGGGAUGCGUCUGAUUAGCUUGUUGGCGGGGUAACGGCCCACCAAGGCAACGAUCAGUAGGGGUUCUGAGAGGAAGGUCCCCCACAUUGGAACUGAGACACGGUCCAAACUCCUACGGGAGGCAGCAGUGAGGAAUAUUGGUCAAUGGGCGAGAGCCUGAACCAGCCAAGUAGCGUGCAGAAUGACGGCCCUAUGGGUUGUAAACUGCUUUUAUAAGGGAAUAAAGUGAGUCUCGUGAGACUUUUUGCAUGUACCUUAUGAAUAAGGACCGGCUAAUUCCGUGCCAGCAGCCGCGGUAAUACGGAAGGUCCGGGCGUUAUCCGGAUUUAUUGGGUUUAAAGGGAGCGUAGGCCGGAGAUUAAGCGUGUUGCGAAAUGUAGACGCUCAACGUCUGCACUGCAGCGCGAACUGGUUUCCUUGAGUACGCACAAAGUGGGCGGAAUUCGUGGUGUAGCGGUGAAAUGCUUAGAUAUCACGAAGAACUCCGAUUGCGAAGGCAGCUCACUGGAGCGCAACUGACGCUGAAGCUCGAAAGUGCGGGUAUCGAACAGGAUUAGAUACCCUGGUAGUCCGCACGGUAAACGAUGGAUGCCCGCUGUUGGUCUGAAUAGGUCAGCGGCCAAGCGAAAGCAUUAAGCAUCCCACCUGGGGAGUACGCCGGCAAGGGUGCAACUCAAAGGAAUUGACGG